AGCAGCCGCGGUAAUCCAGCUCCAAUAGCGUAUAUUAAAGUUGUUGCAGUUAAAAAGCUCGUAGUUGAAUUUCGGGACCAAUUUGUUGGUCGUGCCUCGGUACGUACUGGUAUUAUUGGUUUCUCCCUUCUGAAGAACCUCGAUGCCAUUAAUUUGGUGUCGUGGGGAAUCAGGACUGUUACUUUGAAAAAAUUGGAGUGUUUAAAGCAAGCAUACGCUUGAAUACAUUAGCAUGGAAUAAUGAAAUAGGACGUUUGAUUCUAUUUUGUUGGUUUCUAGGAUCGACGUAAUGAUUAAUAGGGAUAGUUGGGGGCGAUUAGUAUUCAAUUGUCAGAGGUGAAAUUCUUGGAUUUAUUGAAGACUAACUACUGCGAAAGCAUUUGCCAAGGAUGUUUUCAUUAAUCAAGAACGAAAGUUAGGGGAUCGAAGACGAUCAGAUACCGUCGUAGUCUUAACCAUAAACUAUGCCGACUAGGGAUCGGAUGAUGUUAAUUUUUUAAUGACUCAUUCGGCGCCUUAC
rnacentral:misc_RNA from 1 species